UAAUUGAAGAGUUUGAUCAUGGCUCAGAUUGAACGCUGGCGGCAGGCCUAACACAUGCAAGUCGAACGGUAGCAGGAAGUGCUUGCACUUCGCUGACGAGUGGCGGACGGGUGAGUAAUGCUUGGGAACUUGCCUUUAGGUGGGGGAUAACAGUUGG
rnacentral:ncRNA from 1 species